CAAGCGGAUUAGCGAUAUGAAGCUGAAUUGCAAGAAGUCAGCAGAAGCCAUAGUAAUCCCCAACGGGGAUGAAGGGU
rfam:Bacillus selenitireducens MLS10, complete genome.